UACGGGGGGGGCGAAGCGUUGUUCGGAAUUACUGGGCGUAAAGGGUUCGUAGGUGGCCAACUAAGUCAGACGUGAAAUCCCUCGGCUUAACCGGGGAACUGCGUCUGAUACUGGAUGGCUUGAGUUCGGGAGAGGGAUGCGGAAUUCCAGGUGUAGCGGUGAAAUGCGUAGAUAUCUGGAGGAACACCGGUGGCGAAGGCGGCAUCCUGGACCGACACUGACACUGAGGAGCGAAAGCCAGGGGAGCAAACGGG
rnacentral:rRNA from 1 species